AAGCUGCAUGUUCCAGAUGGUGCAUGUGCAAGAGCCUCACUGAUCACAAACAUCUCAGCAUAACAGAGUCUCCUCUGAUGGAUACAACGGAGAAAGAAGACUUGAAAAGAAGACAGAAUGUGUCACAUGAAGCAGUCUCCGUACAGAAAAAAAAAAAAAAAACUGAAUUUAUUCUGCGGAGCAACUCAGAACCUGUGCACAACUACUCUGUGCUCUAGGACCCGCAAACUGCUGAUAGGAGCUGGCAUGCUACAACUACUGAAGCCUGUGCACCUAGAGCCUAUGCUCCACAACAAGAGCAGCCCCCACAUGGUGAGGCCUGCCGUCCACAAAGAAGAGUAGUGCCUGCUUGCUGCAACUAGAGAAAGCCCAUGUGUGUCAACAAAGACCCAGUGAAACCAAAAAUUGAAAACAAUAAUAAUAAUAAAUAAUAAUUUUUAAAUCUUAU